GCCCACAUAGAUCAGUUGGUAGAUUGCCUUCCACAAUUGCUUUUAAACUUUCUUAGCUUUGAAGGAGACGGGGGUUCGAACCCUCCUGUGGGCA